rnacentral:lncRNA from 1 species
AGGCACCCGGCUGCUCUCACCCUAGCCCCAGAGCUUCCCAAUAGGGCUUCUGGCCACAGUAGAGCCCAGAUUAGUGCAUGGUCUGCUUAGAGAGGCACUGGCUUGCCCUUUGAACAAGGCAGCUCUUGUUGCCUUCUUUCCCUCAGUGAUGAUGUUAGAUACUUGAUACAUGGAAAGUCUCAGCUGUAUCCAAGUGGAUAUACCAAUGUCCAAGGUGCCAUCUCUCUGUCUUACAUCCAGAGACAUGUUGUCCAUGCCUCUCCUGCCUAGGGUGUCACAUCCUCAUAUUGCAGCCUCAGGCACCUCUGUGUCUAGAAGACUUAGUCACAGAUUAUAAAGCUGAGAGGAGGUUAGGAAUUGGUUGGUCUGGAGAGACCCUCCCUGAUUACUCUGACCUGACCUCCCUUCUCCAGCCUUCCCUUGCCUCUGGGAAGCCUCGGCCUGUAGACACAGAGGGAAUGCUGCUGUUAGCUUUAUCCGUUUUCCCUCUUCUCUAAGCGUGUUUUCACCAGUCUGUAGCUCCAUGCAUUGUAUAUUAGAUAUAAAAUAUGAUAUCUUAAUACCAA